CCCGCCCCGAUCCCUUGGAAACAGGCAGGCAGAGGGGAGGGGGGCCUCCGCGGGCGGAAGUGAGGGGGCGCUUCCGGUUGGGCCCAGCCGAGGGCUGCCCUUUUUGA
rnacentral:lncRNA from 1 species